rnacentral:rRNA from 1 species
GUCCACGCCGUAAACUAUGGGUGCUAGGUGUCGGCAAGCUUGCUUGUCGGUGCCGCAGCUAACGCGUGAAGCACCCCGCCUGGGGAGUACGGUCGCAAGAUUAAAACUCAAAGGAAUUGACGGGGCCCGCACAAGCGGUGUAGCAUGUGGUUCAAUUCGACGCAACGCGCAGAACCUUACCAGGGUUUGACAUCCCGUAACCGGUUCCGAAAGGGAUUUUCCCGCAAGGGAUACGGAGACAGGUGCUGCAUGGCUGUCGU